UAUAAAUGUUGUCUACUAUUUAUAAUGAAGGAGACAGCAUAGCAAUAUAAAAAAAAAAUUCAAAAAUAGAGGUAAUUUUUGUCCCUUCAUAGAAAACUUCCCUGAAGCUUUUCAAUCUGUUUCAUUAUUGAAAAAAAUAAAGAUUGAAGCUUUUGGAUCCCUCAAGACAAACAAUUAAAAAAAAAAAAAAUUUGAAGUAAAAGAGAACGAUAAGAAGGAAGGAGAGGCGGGGAGGGUUGAGCUAGGCUCUAGAGCUAAGCUCAGCAGCUAUGUUUUACCUUGAGUUUCGCUUCUCUUUCAAUUUUUAAAUCAACUUUUCUAAUUUUUCUUUAUUUUUCGAAUUCGAGGCUGUAAAGAACGACGCCUGUCUCGAGAUACCCAAAAAAUAAGCCUUCCCAAUUGGUUUCUUAGGAAAUCCGGAGGAGAAGCACAAUUUUUCGUGAGUAGAAAUAUUGAUGAUGAAAUGAAUGACGAGAAUUUGAGUGAAGAUGAUCCUGCUAUUAAGAAAAGUGUAGGAUGACUUUAUGAAGAUGCCAUUUCCCAACAACAGUUUUUAUGCAGUUCAUGCAAUCGAAGCUACCUGCCAUGCACUGAAUGCUUAUGGAUUCUACAAGGAGAUUUACAGAAUACUAAAGCCUGGAAUUAAGAUCGGUGAUGAUUUUCUAAACAUUAGGUUGACUAGAUAGUGCUUGGAUGCUCUAAAAAAGGCUAGUUUUGAAGUGAACUUUUACUUCUCUCCCCCCUCCCUCCCUUUUUUGUUUUUAAUUGGAAAUGGAAUAUGACUAAUAAUUAUUUCCAUUUUGUCUUUUAGGUCAUAUGGGAGAAAGAUUUUGCUGUUGACUCGCCUGUCCCUUGAUACCUGCCUUUAGAUAAAAAACAAUGAAAAAACAAUGAUACUCUUCAUGGUCAAGACUCUAGAAUUUAUGGGAUUUGCUCUAAAUGGAAGUCAAAGGGUUCAAGAUUUUCAAGAAAAGGCUGUAGAAGGGUUGGUUAAAGGUGGUAGGUUAGUUAGAAGUCCUAUUUCUCCAUGACUUCUUCUGCAUGUUGGUUUACCCCUAUCUUUGAUCUUUGUCUCACCUGUCCAGGCUCUCUCCUCCAUCAAGUCUCUCUUUUUUCUCUUUCUUUUUUAAGAUUUUUUUUUUUUUUUUUAUAGAUUAUCAAAAGACAGGUCUUUUUCUGUUUUGUUUUGUUUUACAGGGGUUGGUUUUUGGCUAAAAAAGAGAACUAGGAUUAUUGGAAUAAUAUUGUUGGCAUCUACUCUAUCAAACUCAACCUUUUCAGUUUUGAAUAAUAAGAAAAACAGCAAGAAUCCCAUUAUCUUCAUUGACAAUUAUGAUAGUUUCACCAACAAUCUUUGCCAUUGCCAAGUUUUGAUUGCAUGUUCAAAAUUUUGUGUUGUUUGUUCAAGUUUUUGCCUUCUCUGAAUUUUCUUUAUGGUUUGGGGCUUGAUUCUGGAAUGCUGUUUAAUUGCCUACAAAUCUUUAGGAAAAAAACAGAAGAGAAAUAUUAGUUGGCUGGCUCAUUCAAAUUUAUUAUACUUUGUAUCUGAGAGAAUAUAUAUUGAUUGUUAGCAAAGACUUGAUAAUUUAAUUAAAGUUGAAAAAUCUAAUUAAAACUAGUAUAAUAGGAAAAAAAUGUGUUGGUUAGAUUGGUUUCUUCUUAUAAGAAUUCUAAUAAGAUACAUACACACGUAAGUAUAAUUGAAAAUUUAUUGCUGCAUGAUUGUUAGUUUUUAGUGUUUCAUUUCAUUUACAUUUCUAAUUGCUUGUGGUUUUUAGGUGUUCAAUUAUAGGAUAAUGAAAUAUGUCUAAUAAUGUGAAAGAAGGCAUACUUUACAAAAAUCAACGAAAUGGGAUUAAAAUUGGAUUCUAAUUUCACAAAUGCAUCUAUUUGAUCGAAUGAAUUAUUUUUCUACACAUUGGUUGCAUCUAUAGCCAUUUUACUAUAUUUUUUAUGUAACUUUAACAAGCUUCUGUAAUUACCCUUUCAAGUAAUAGAGCUAAGAAGAAAAGAUUUUGAUAGUGCUAGAUCUGCCUUUCAUUUUAUUUUAUUUAGCCUACCUAAAUUUUGAUCAUUGA